UUGAUGUGUCCCCCCCCAACAGGUCCUCCAGGAGGAGACGUCCAUCCCGGGCAGCGACCUCAACCUGCUGUACCUGUCCUCGCGGGCGGCCGGCUACAAGCCUGUCCUCAAGGUCACCAUGACGCAGRCCAGUGUGCCCUUCAACCUCAUGAAGGUGCACCUGAUGGUGGCGGUGGUGGGGCGUCUGUUCCAGAAGUGGUUCCCUGCCCAGCCCAACCUCUCCUACACCUUCAUCUGGGACAAGACAGACGCUUACAACCAGAAGGUCUACGGCUUGUCUGAGGCAGUCGUGUCAGUGGGUUUUGAGUACGAGUC